rnacentral:rRNA from 1 species
GACGAACGCUGGCGGCGUGCCUAAUACAUGCAAGUAGGACGCAGUUGCGAACGGGUGAGUAACGCGUAGGUAACUGCCUAUUAGAGGGGGAUAAAUAUUGGAAACGAUAGCUAAUAACGCAUACUAGUAGCUGGACCUGGGUUGGAUUCGAUAGUAGGUAGGGUAAUGGCCUACCUAGGAGACGAUACAUAGCCGACCUUAGAGGUUGGUCGGCUCACCUGGGACUUGGAAAAGGCCCCACAUCCUACCGGAGGCAGCCGGUGGGGAUCUUCGGAAAUGGGGGGAACCCUGACCGAGCAACGCCGCGGGAGUGAAGAAGGUUUUCGGAUCUUAAAGCUCUGUUGUUAAGGAAGCGGUACUUAACCAGAAAGCGACGGCUAACUACGUGCCAGCAGCCGCGGUAAUAC